GAAUCCAGGAAUUGGAAGAGACUCAGGCAUACAGCCUCCCCCCCCCCAAAAAAUAGCAUUUCUCUUUGUUUCAGUUUCUAGUCCCUGUGUGUGUACAUAGGUCAAAGGUAAAAGGUAAAGGUACCCCUGCCCGUAUGGCCCAGUCUUGACAGACUCUAGGGUUGUGCGCCCAUCUCACUCUAGAGGCCGGGAGCCGGCGCCGUCCGCAGACACUUCCGGGUCACAUGGCCAGUGUGACAUCGCUGCUCUGGCAAGCCUGCACCAGCGCAGCACAGGGAACGCCGUUUACCUUCCCGCUAUAAAGUGGUACCUAUUUAUCUACUUGCACUUUUAAGGGUGCUUUCGAACUGCUAGGUGGGCAGGAGCUGUGACCAAACGACGGGAGCUCACCCCGCCGCAGGAAUUCGAACCGCCGACCAUACAAUCGGCAAGUCCUAGGCACUGUGGUUUCACCCACAGCGCCACCCGCGUCCCACAUAGGUCAAAUCUGUAACAAUAAUACUUAAAAUACCUAAUGUGAAAAUAAAACAAAAGCACUAAAAUUAAUAAAUCUAAUAAAAUAGGCAGUGAAUACAGUAAAAUGGACAUCAGAUCCCAUAGAAAUUUAAAAGUACAGUAGAAUUACAGUAAACAAAACAGAAACAGCAUCAUAGAUUUCAGCAGACCAGUUAAAAGCAUAAAAAAUCAAAAGUGAACAAAAAGGUUUUCACAUCCUGUUUAAAGGCUUGAAUAUGGAGAGGUAGUCUAUCACCUUUGGUACUGAGUUCCAGAAACAUUGUUAAAAGUUAUUAAAAUAAAUGGAAUAUAAGAGUGGUGAAAGGGGGAUAUAACAAAAAGAGAUUGGAAGGAGCAGUAAAUAUAAAAAAUGAAAAGAUGUAAGUAUGACUGGGGCAGGGAUGUGAAGAAAUAAUAAUUCGACCAUAAUUUAGGUAAAAGUGAAAUCUGUUCUACAUAUCUAAGAAUUGUGAGGCUUGUGUUUUUUGAACCACACAUCCAAACCCAGUACGUGGGAAAUCACUUUUGAAAACAAAGAGCAUUUUAAGAAGGAUUUGUGAUAAUAGCAUUGGAAUCAGAACAAACAAACCAAAAUGUUACACUGGGUGUGUACCAGAUGUAAGAAGACCUUAAUGUAACUAUUUAGAUCUCACUCUAUGCUCAGGAUACAAUAACCAAAGUUAUUUUGACUUGGGAACCAGCAUUAUAACUUAAAUUUUAAUUUCCUACUAGUAUUUACAAUAUAAUGCUUUAAACUUUUCCAAUUGUGCCUUUCAUGAAAGUAAAGUUUUUAAUGUUUGGUAGAAGUGUAACGAAAAGAAAAUAUUUAUGUGGUUUUUCUCAUUUGAUUUUUUAAAAAUCUGUGACCUAUUUUUGAAUGGGUGAAACAGCUGGAAGAGAAAGUUGGCUGGGAAUUUCGACUCCUUUAGAAACAGUACAAGCAAGAAUUUGGUCCUCAUUUCACAGAAUAUUACGUUUUGGAAAACUAGGACCUUGGAUUUCUGUAUGCAUUUGUUCGUAUGUGCUUAAAUCCUGCAUGAUGGGGCUUGUAUGUAUCUCCUAGGGUUGCCAUAGUUCAAAAAGUGGAAAUCCGUUUUUAACUUACUCUGAGCAAUUUUGUUAGGAAAAUCAGCAAAACCGACACUACAGGCCUGGCUUGCCAUAUGUCUGGAUUUUUCCGGACAUUUUUUUUUUUUUGGCCGAUUUCCGCCCGAACGCUGCUUCAUAUGGCAACCCUAUUUUAGGUAUACUGUUUGUGCUGUGGAAUUAUUUUUCACAUUUCUAUGAGAAACUAAGCUUAACUUUUGGUAUUUAGGGCUAUUUGUCAGUUCAUUAUCGCCAUUUAUCAUGUUACUCUUUUUCUGUGUUUUCAGGACCUAAGUACACAUCAUCUUAAUUUUGUGAUCAACAAUCACAUUGUGGCACACACACACACACACACACACACACACACACCCCAGGCCUUGGCGGGGGAAGGUUGUCCUUGAAUAUGCUGGGGGUGGGGGGUGGUUUGCUGUUCUCCGGGUGGAGAAGUUUAAGUUUUCCCUCCAUUGUCGUGAAAUUAGUGAACCACCCAUCCCCGAUGUAGCAGUUAGCAUUGGGAGAAACCUUCCAUUGGCAUCAAUGGAAGAGACAGCCUUAGGAAGUGGUGAGUUCUCGUUUGCUGGAGGUCUUCAAACUGAGCUUGGACAGAAAUCUGCAUUGAGCCGGCGGCAGCCAAUAUCAAUAUUCAGAUCUGAAAACCAGAUCAGCUGGAAUGAUGAUAAACCAGUGGUUUACAACACCAAACUAGCAUCUAGGAACCCCAGACAUAUUUUUGUACUAAUAAGGAGAUUGGAUAUUAACCUCUGUGAACAGAACUGGUUCAGAAGCACCUUUUUGUGGGUAGAUCUAAAACACAAGGCUAUUGUUCACAUCCUUCCUGUUAGUGCCUUAAAGAGUCUACCUUGGAAUGAAUUGAAUAGUACGGCUCAUUCUUCAAUUUUGGAACUUUUGUAUCCCAUCAGUGUGAUGUGCCAUUUGGGUCUGCUGGGUUUAUACCCAUUUUGCAGGUACAUGAUGCUAAUUCUUACAGAAAAAAUAACAAAAGGCCAUAUGAAUGGACUGGUAGUUUAUGUCACCAGCACUAACCACUAAUCCUUGAAGUAUAUGACCUUUCAAGUGCCUUCUAGUUGUAUGAAUUAUGAUGACCAGUUAUUGCUUUUCAAUCAAUUUAAUAUCAGGCUUAGUUAAUCAGUUCUUCUCUCUCCACAUCUGACCUCAGUAUAGUUGAAAGUAAUUUAUCACCAGCAAUACCACACCAUUCAUUCUUCUCCCUCUCAACCUAGUGAUUUGUUCAUUUAGCCCUUUCAGGAAUUUCUUCUUUUUAAUCAAAAUCAUUAACAGAAUCUGUUUACCAUCUUGGAUCCAUUUUUCUGCCUCUUGGCUUAUUUGGAAGUUAUACAACUGAACUGUUUUUCCAAGUUGUUUUCUUUAAAGAGAAUCUGGUCUUCAAAUUUAGCCAAAGUGGUGUAAAAGCUCUUGACAAUGCAAGAAAUUAAAAGGUGUAUUUUUUUCUUAAUUCAGUGCCAUGUAUAAAUGCAGUACAGUCUAUUUUAUAAUACUUGCACUAUCUUGAUUCUCGAACUGAAUCUGUUCUGGGAGUCUGUUUGAAAACCAAGGUGUGGCUUCCUAUUGGCUGUAGGAGCUUCCUGCACUCAAGAACACUUACUUCCGGGUUUGCCGCAUUUGGGAGCUGACUUGUUGGGGAGCCAAACCGUUCAAGUACCAAAGUACCAAUGUAUGUAUAUGUUUUAAGCAGUGACAGCAUAUGAAAAAUAUUUUAUAAAUUUAAAACUCUUGUCUAUAUUACUUUCUCAAGGCUUACUGUUUGACUUCUGCACUACAGCCAGAGGACAGGGCCUCCUUAAUGCUGGGAAUUCCAUCCUUGGUAUAUGGUCUUUCUGUUGUGAAUGUGGAGAGAACUGGUUUCUCUAUAUAUCUGUUGUACCUCAUCCCAUAGCUUGUGUAAGGAAAUGCAUGGCUGUAAUUAUGCACAGAAUUAUAGCUGCUACUAAUCAUACUAACAGCAUUCUCUGUUCUCUGGGUGCCUAUCUUUAUGUAGCCACAGUGGCACCAUCCAUACACCAAAGGAAAGUAUUGGCAGGCCGAGGUAGAACCCCAAGGUUUGUAGAGGUGGAUAGCUCAGUCGGUAAGAGUGUGGUGUUGAAAAUGCCAAGGUUGCAGGUUUGCUCCCCGUAAGGGACAGCUGCAUAUUCCUGUAUUGCAGAGGGUUGGACUAGAUGAUCCUCAAUGAUUCUAUGAGAAGC
rnacentral:lncRNA from 1 species